GAUCAGGCUGUUGGUGAGGUAAUGGCCCACCAAACCUGUAACCGGUACGGGCUCUGAGAGGAGGAGCCCGGAGAUGGGCACUGAGACAAGGGCCCAGGCCCUAUGGGGCGCAGCAGGCGCGAAACCUCUGCAAUAGGCGAAAGCUUGACAGGGUUACUCUGAGUGAUUUCCGUUAAGGAGAUCUUUUGGCACCUCUAAAAAUGGUGCAGAAUAAGGGGUGGGCAAGUCUGGUGUCAGCCGCCGCGGUAAUACCAGCACCCCGAGUGGUCGGGACGUUUAUUGGGCCUAAAGCAUCAGUAGCCGGUUCUACAAGUCUUCCGUUAAAUCCACCUGCUUAACAGAUGGGCUGCGGAAGAUACUAUAGAGCUAGGAGGCGGGAGAGGCAAGCGGUACUCGAUGGGUAGGGGUAAAAUCCGUUGAUCCAUUGAAGACCACCAGUGGCGAAGGCGGCUUGCCAGAACGCGCUCGACGGUGAGGGAUGAAAGCUGGGGGAGCAAACCGGAUUAGAUACCCGGGUAGUCCCAGCUGUAAACGAUGCAGACUCGGUGAU
rnacentral:rRNA from 1 species